UGAGGAAUAUUGGUCAAUGGGCGUAAGCCUGAACCAGCCAUCCCACGUGAAGGAAGAAGGCGCUAUGCGUCGUAAACUUCUUUUCCAGGGGGAGAAUUUUCCGGUCGUGACCGGAAUUGACGGUACUCUGGGAAUAAGCAUCGGCUAACUCCGUGCCAGCAGCCGCGGUAAUACGGAGGAUGCGAGCGUUAUCCGGAUUUAUUGGGUUUAAAGGGUGCGUAGGCGGAUCAAUAAGUCAGUGGUGAAAUUUUGCAGCUUAACGGUAGACUUGCCAUUGAUACUGUUGGUCGUGAGUAUGGUCAAGGUAGGCGGAAUGUGUAAUGUAGCGGUGAAAUGCUUAGAUAUUACACAGAACACCGAUUGCGAAGGCAGCUUGCUGGGCCAAUACUGACGCUGAUGCACGAAAGCGUGGGGAUCGAACA
rnacentral:rRNA from 1 species